rnacentral:rRNA from 1 species
GGGGGGGGGGGGGGGGGGGGGGGGGGCGGGGGGGUCGGGCGGAGGGAGGGGGCUUGCGCCUGGAUUCGGCGGGGGGCGGGGGGGUGGGGCCGAGGGGUCUGCCUGGUCGGGGGGGCGGGCGUCCGGACGCGGGCGCUAAUACGGCAGACGUCCGGAUGGAGAACGUGGGGGAUCUUCGGACCUCACGCUAUCAGAUGAGCCUAGGGCGGAUUAGCUAGUUGGUGGGGUAACGGCCUACCAAGGCGACGAUCCGUAGCUGGUCUGAGAGGAUGAUCAGUCACACUGGAACUGAGACACGGUCCAGACUCCUACGGGAGGCAGCAGUGGGGAAUAUUGGACAAUGGGCGAAAGCCUGAUCCAGCCAUGCCGCGUGUGUGAAGAAGGUCUUCGGAUUGUAAAGCACUUUAAGUUGGGAGGAAGGGCAGUAAGUUAAUACCUUGCUGUUCUGACGUUACCAACAGAAUAAGCACCGGCUAACUUCGUG